GGAAUUGACGGGGGCCCGCACAAGCGGCGGAGCAUGCGGAUUAAUUCGAUGCAACGCGAAGAACCUUACCAAGGCUUGACAUAUAGAGGAAAAGCGUAGAAAUACGCUCCCCGCAAGGUCUCUAUACAGGUGGUGCAUGGUUGUCGUCAGCUCGUGUCGUGAGAUGUUGGGUUAAGUCCCGCAACGAGCGCAACCCUCGUCCUAUGUUGCCAGCACGUAAUGGUGGGAACUCAUGGGAGACUGCCGGGGUCAACUCGGAGGAAGGUGGGGAUGACGUCAAAUCAUCAUGCCCCUUAUGUCUUGGGCUUCACGCAUGCUACAAUGGCCGGUACAGAGGGCUGCAAUACCGCAAGGUGGAGCGAAUCCCAAAAAGCCGGUCUCAGUUCGGAUUGAGGUCUGCAACUCGACCUCAUGAAGUCGGAGUCGCUAGUAAUCGCAGAUCAGCAACGCUGCGGUGAAUACGUUCCCGGGCCUUGUACACACCGCCCGUCAAGUCACGAAAGUCGGUAACACCCGAAGCCGGUGGCCUAACCGUAAGGAAGGAGCCGUCGAAGGUGGGAUCGGUGAUUGGGACUAAGUCGUAACAAGUACCAAUCG
rnacentral:rRNA from 1 species